rnacentral:rRNA from 1 species
UACAGAGGUCUCAAGCGUUGUUCGGAUUCAUUGGGCGUAAAGGGCGCGUAGGCUGCGGGGUAAGUCGGGUGUGAAAUCUCAGAGCUCAACUCUGAAACUGCACUCGAUACUGCUUUGCUUGAGGACUGGAGAGGAGAUUGGAAUUCACGGUGUAGCAGUGAAGUGCGUAGAUAUCGUGAGGAAGACCAGUGGCGAAGGCGGAUCUCUGGACAGUUCCUGACGCUGAGGCGCGAAGGCCAGGGGAGCAAACGGG